GUGCUCUCUUCAGCAACACAUAUACUAAAAUUGGAACGAUACAGAGAAGAUUAGCAUGGCCCCUGCACAAGGAUGACAUGCAAGUUCGUGAAGCAUUCCAUACUUUU
rnacentral:snRNA from 1 species